rnacentral:rRNA from 1 species
UACGUAGGGGGCAAGCGUUGUCCGGAUUUAUUGGGCGUAAAGAGCGUGUAGGCGGCUUUACAGGUCCGUUGUGAAAACUCGAGGCUCAACCUCGAGACGCCGGUGGAAACUGUAAAGCUAGAGUCCGGAAGAGGAGAGUGGAAUUCCUGGUGUAGCGGUGAAAUGCGCAGAUAUCAGGAAGAACACCCGUGGCGAAGGCGGCUCUCUGGGACGGUACUGACGCUGAGACGCGAAAGCGUGGGGAGCGAACAGG